rnacentral:tRNA from 1 species
AUCCAGGGAUGGGAAUCGAACCCACAGUGUUCCGCUUACCGGGCAGAUGCCAUCUCCACUAGCCUACCCAGGA